GUGGGGGUUGCGGGCUUCAUCAAUGAGGUCGGCUCUCCUUAAAUGCAUUAGCAGAACUUUUGUGGACUGUCUAUUGGUGUGAUAAUUAUCUACGCCGUGGAUAUGAAGCAGCUUUAUGAAGUUCAGCUCUAACCGUCCAUUGACUUGGACAAUUUUGACAAUUUGACCUCAAAUCAGGUAGGACUACCCGCUGAACUUAA
rnacentral:misc_RNA from 1 species